rnacentral:lncRNA from 1 species
UAUUUUAUAAUUUUAAUUAUUAGAGUAAAAUUUUAAUUUUAUAAUUUCUUUCCAACUUUGUACGUAAUAGUAGGGCUGACAAUCCAACUUGCUGUUCGCGAGCUAACUGGUGCUCGGCCCGUUAAUAAACUAGCCGAUAAUGAGCUGAAACUUCAGCUAGAUAUUUUAACGAGCCUGCUAGUACUCGACUCGUUUAUUAAAUGAGCAGACCCCAGCUCACUUCUGUUUGGCUCGUUGGUAGCCCUAAUUAAUUAAGAGGGAGCACAUAUAACUCGAUCAGUAUAACUGCGACAAUUUUAAUCUAUUACAUCAAUUUUUGUAUCAAAAAUUAAAUUAUUGUAAAAUAUAUUUUAUUGCAACAGUUUGUGCAGCUUUAAUAAUGUAAAUUAUAUUAUUCAGUCAUUUAUUAUCACAAAAAAGUGCUACUGGCUAAAUUACCGAUACUUUUAAAAAGUGUUGCUAUAUGUGGGGUCGAAAGAUAUAUAGUGACAGUUAAAGAGUGUCGCUAUAAUAUAAAAGAGUGCUGCUAAUUUAUCAACAUUUAUUUAAGCAUUUAGCAACCACCGAAACUCUACCUCGUUGGCUGCGGUGGCGGGGGAGGACGAGAGGAAGGGAUCUUCGUCUAGAAUUUCAGUCGAUUGAGUAAGAGGAGAAGGGAAAAUGGUAAUCGAUUUUUUUUUUAUUUUUCUUUCUGUUUGUAAUCGGGCCGAAUGGACUGGGUAGGGUGGGUGGCAUUAAUAUGAUACUUACACAAAAGUGUCCCAAAUAUGUGUCCCUAUAACCUAAUUCUAUUGUAGUGAAGAUUUAUAACAAUUAAUUAUUCACAACAAAUCUCAUUUGUUUGCAAAAAAAAAGAACUAUUAUUGCAACGAAUAAUUAUCAAUUACAACAGUAUUUAUUAUCGAAAAAGAAUGAAUUUCCUGAUAGUUUAACUGUCAAUAACAUGAAAAUUUAGAGAUUUGGCCAAUUACGAUUUGAUUCUUAAUUAGUUUGCUUAAUAUAGAUUAGUAUCUAAACUUCAAUUUGUAGGGCAACAAAAACAAAAAAAAAACUUAACUUUUUUAAAUUCCUUUUAAUUAUAAUGUCAUUU